rnacentral:lncRNA from 1 species
GCGGCUGUCCUCCCUCGCUUUUGGAGCUCCGACCUCAGCUUCGCCUGCGAGCUGGGUUGUGUAAAGGCUGGUCAUUUUGGGGCGCUUAGGGGUGGGUGCCGGGGGGCGCGCUUUCCCUCGUGAAGGUCGCUCCAGGAGUCAUGCGUACAUUCGUUCAUUUUGCUCUGGACGCACUGAUGUUCCCGGCUCGCCGCCGUGCCGCAGUCACGAGGCUCUCCGAACGCCUUUCACUGUGUUUCUGUUUACAUUCGCGUCUGCAAGACCCGGCGGCGCGACCGAGGCCCGAACAGAUGGAGAUGGGCUGCCAUGUUGUGAGCUGCCCCAUGGGGAAGAGGCUCACAUGUGAGGAACUGAGGGAGGCCUCCAGAAAACAGCCAGUGAAGAACUGAGACCCUCAGUCCAAUAGCCUAUGAGGAACUGAAUCCUGCUGACAACCAUAUGAAUGAGCUUGGAAGCAGAUCCUUCCCCAGUGAAGCCUUCAUGUGAGACUGCAGCCCACUUGACACUUUGAUUUGUAGCUUGUGACAGACCCCAAGCCAGAAGAGUCAGAGACGGAGUCUCUCUCUUGCCCAGGCUGGAGCGCAGUGGC